GGGGGUGUAGCUCAGUUGGUUAGAGCGCAUGCCUGUCACGCAUGAGGUCGCGAGUUCGACCCUCGUCACUCCCGCCA
rnacentral:tRNA from 9 species